rnacentral:rRNA from 1 species
UACAGAGGUCUCAAGCGUUGUUCGGAUUCAUUGGGCGUAAAGGGUGCGUAGGUGGCGCUGUAAGUCGGGUGUGAAAUUUCGGAGCUUAACUCCGAAACUGCAUUCGAUACUGCGGUGCUUGAGGACUGGAGAGGAGACUGGAAUUCCUGGUGUAGCGGUGAAAUGCGCAGAUAUCAGGAGGAACACCGGUGGCGAAGGCGGAUCUCUGGGCCAUUACUGACGCUGAGGAGCGAAAGCGUGGGGGAGCGAACAGG